rnacentral:rRNA from 1 species
AUAGUUUGAUCCGGGGUCACAACGAACGCUGGCGGCAUGCUUAACGAUGCAAGUCCAACCAAAUCUUCGGAUCUUUUGGCGCACGGGUGAGUAACGCGUGGAAAUCUGCCAUUCUGUACCGAAUAACGUUUGGAAACGAACGCAAUUACCGUAUACGCCCUACGGGGGAAAGGUCCGCCUCACAAUGAAGAGUCCGCGUCCGAUUAGCUAGUUGGUAGGGUAAUGGCCUACCAAAGCGACUAUCGGUAGCUGGUCUGAUAAGAUGAUCACCCACACUGGGACUGAGACACGGCCCGCACUCCUACUGGAGGCAACAUUGGGGAAUAUUGGACAAUGGGGGCAACCCUGAUCCAGCAAUGCCGCGUGUGUGAUGAAGGCCCUACGGUUGUAAAGCGCUUUCUAUGGUGAAGAUGAUGACGGUAACCAUAGAACAAGCCCCGGCUAACUUCCUGCCGUCAGCCGCGGUAAUA